UACGGGGGGGGCAAGCGUUGUUCGGAAUUACUGGGCGUAAAGGGCUCGUAGGCGGCCAACUAAGUCGGAUGUGAAAUCCCCAGGCUUAACCUGGGAACUGCAUCCGAUACUGGAUGGCUUGAAUCCGGGAGAGGGAUGCGGAAUUCCAGGUGUAGCGGUGAAAUGCGUAGAUAUCUGGAGGAACACCGGUGGCGAAGGCGGCAUCCUGGACCAACACUGACGCUGAGUGAGCGAAAGCCAGGGGAGCAAACGGG
rnacentral:rRNA from 1 species